rnacentral:rRNA from 1 species
AGUGAACGCUGGCGGUAGGCCUAACACAUGCAAGUCGAACGGCAGCACAGUAAGAGCUUGCUCUUACGGGUGGCGAGUGGCGGACGGGUGAGGAAUACAUCGGAAUCUACUUUUUCGUGGGGGAUAACGUAGGGAAACUUACGCUAAUACCGCAUACGACCUACGGGUGAAAGCAGGGGAUCUUCGGACCUCGCGCGAUUGAAUGAGCCGAUGUCGGAUUAGCUAGUUGGCGGGGUAAAGGCCCACCAAGGCGACGAUCCGUAGCUGGUCUGAGAGGAUGAUCAGCCACACUGGAACUGAGACACGGUCCAGACUCCUACGGGAGGCAGCAGUGGGGAAUAUUGGACAAUGGGCGCAAGCCUGAUCCAGCCAUACCGCGUGGGUGAAGAAGGCCUUCGGGUUGUAAAGCCCUUUUGUUGGGAAAGAAAAGCAGCAGGUUAAUACCCCGCUGUUCUGACGGUACCCAAAGAAUAAGCACCGGCUAGCUUCGUG